rnacentral:misc_RNA from 1 species
UUUGAGAAACAACGCAACCCAGCAGUGUACUUUGACCCCUCAUACACCACAAUCCGGCCAUCAAACCCAAGUAACACCACCACCAAUCCAUUGGCGACAUCCAAGUGACCUUUUCGACGCCUUUCCGAUCACUUGCAACUUCCCCCAAAACAAGACCUGACCGGGUCCAAUCUUGACCCGAAUCUAAACCUGCAAAUUUUCUAGAUUUCUCUGGAAUUUGACCCUCCCUAGCCCUUCUCCAAUCACCGAUCUGCCCAUCUCUGCUGUUGGA